rnacentral:lncRNA from 1 species
GGUGCAGCAUGGCGCACAGCGGAGGCCGCGGGCGGCCGAACCCGGCGUGUCCUUGGGCGUUUCCAGGUGCGAAUCCUGCGGUCUGCUUAACCCCGUGUGUGCGGAGAGGGCUUCCUUGUUGGCGGCGUCCGUCUCUAGCCGGGUACGGGGGCCCCAUGGCUCCCGGGUUCGGUGUGGCCCUUGGCCCGCUGUGAGCGGCGGGGCGCGUUCCCAAUGGUCUCCAAAUCUUAACCGAGAUUAGUUAUAAGGCCUGCUCCUCUGGACGCUUCGAAGUGCGGGCACAAGCGGCCGCUUCUGGCGGCAGCUUUCAUCUGGGCCUGCACCCUGGCGGGAGCCCCUUUGUAUCCCCAAGAAAAGCCACCAUGCGGUCUGUUUCAGGCUUCCUAAGUGAGUAAUCCAUAGGAAAUUUUACAGAGGCGGAAAAGUACUGCUUCUAAGAUGUUAAGACCGCCAAUUUUAGGCUUUUUUUUUUUUUUGGCUUUUUUUUUUUUUAAAGAUUAAUAGUUUGAUCUGAAGUAUUGGCAUCACUCUAAAAAGCUUGUAUUCAUGGAUCAACCCUGUGCAACAAAACCUGCUCAUUUGAAGGUGCUUGAACAAAUAUUUUCUAAACACUUGUCAUGGAGAGUGAUUGAAACAAGCUGCCAGGACUACAUUUGCCAAUAACAAGCAUGUAGGUGGCUGUAGUGGAUGUCCAACUUUGGGAGCUGUGAUGUCUAAAAACCCUUUAUUGUUUUGGCUUACAUAUUGGAAGGUAAAAUGAAGGCCAUGAACAAAGUCAAGAAGCCAUAAACAGAAGCAAAUGGUGAAAAUUAAUAUCUAAUUUAAUAUUAAUAAGUUAUAUAUAAAUAAACAGUUAUUCUUAA